rnacentral:lncRNA from 1 species
AAAAAACCAUGAAUGUAGUUAUUAUCCUGUCUUAUGCCAAUCAUAAGUUUAAAGUUCGACAUCUCUCUAUGAAUCACAAGAGCAAGGCUUCCUGUUAACUGACUAUCUUUAUUUUUAACUCAAGCAACGUUGGAGCCAUCCCUGCAGUGAAUACACUCAUCAAGAUUCUAUAUCAUUCCUUCCUUGAUGCCUAUCAUUAUUAGAGACAUUUCUCUUCAUUUAUUUAUGAUGCCUAAUACGUCUUUCUGUCCACUUUGUAUUUGUUUUGUUUCUUCUGAAGAUUAAGAUAUGCUUUAAUAUUGGCUUGAUUUGUUUAUCGAAUUUUGAAGAUUUCCUUUGGAAAUAGUGUUAUAUGAAUGCUAUUAUAAAUUGAAUUCCCUCUAAGUAAUCAGGGAGAACGUACUGAUCAAACUAUGUACAAAUUGUGAAGCAUACUUAUAUUAUCAUGCCUAUGGAUUCAUCACAACUCAUAGGAGACUUAUUAAGAUAUAUUUUGAGAUAGUUUGAACAGUCCAUAAUGAAUUGAAUCAACAUGAAAUUAUUGAUCGGAGAUUGAAGCUGUGAUCAAAGUCAAUAUUCACUUAUUUAAUGAAAUUUAUGAUGCAGAUGGGCAAUAUUCUAUCUCUCCUCCAAAA